GGACUACUUUGAAUUGUUAUGCCUGUGACCGUCACAUUAAAACUCCCAUAAAACCUCAGUGCCUGUGCAAUAAAAAUGCAUCAUGUUAAAGGAUUGUAUGGUCAUGGAAUAUGCUUGGAAUUUAGAAGUUUUGAAAUGGUUCUCACAGUUGGCUUGAUGCUUGGCAUUAUCCUCCCAAGGGAAAUAUACAAAGUGAGGGAGAUUGUUACCGGCAUUGGUGGAUUCUCUUCAACACUGCUGUUUAAUGGGACAAGAAGUUUUAUUUCAUCAUCUAUAGGAUCAUCAAACGGGGCGUCUUGCCACCAGACUGAGCCUCUUCCAUCAAUGAUACCAUUUCCCUGAAUUGUAAUUCCUCUCAACUUUGUGAACUCAAGCCAUUGUAAGAGACCUUUGCCCCAAGCAUUGGAGUUUGUUGGAGCAAUGAUCGUCCCAUCUAGCUGAGAAAAAUAUACUCUCUUCAGUCUUUAAUUUCAAUUGUCAGUCGUUGUUUAUGCAUUACUGGAUGGUAAUGGUAAUGGUUAUGGAAGACAAGAUCAAUUAUCAAUCACAGCUACUACUUGGGAUGAUCACAGGUGAAAGGUGAAAGCAUUGUUAUAGUAGUUAGUUGGCUGGAUUAUAUAUUUUUGUCUAUGCAAUUGACUAUUUUCAUGCAAGAUAAAAAUAAUCAUUCAGAAUUUUACAAGGAUGAAACUCUUUCUGAAUUUUACUGGUGGAUAUUGUUUUGACAAGACAUAAAGAUAAGAUUUCAGUUUCAUCCUUGCUCUA